UACAUGUACAAUAUAUUCGGGUUUUAAUAUCUAGUAAUAAUAAUAUGAUGCUAAUUAAGUUAAGUUUUGUGAUUGAUCAUUGUUUCUAGACACUUUAUAUACCCUUUCAGCUUCAUCUUCAACUUUAUCGGAAUGCGAGUCAAGAAGUACAUAACAAAUAUAAAUAAAUACGAGUACUUUUAAUUUGUGAAAUAAAAAAAAAAAAAAAAGGGGCAAUUAGAGCACUCAGAGUGCCCUUCACUCAUCCUUCAAAAUAUGUAUAUUUCGGAAAGGUUUAGCGGGUCGGAAAGUGGUGUCCAAUGCUGAUGAAUGGAUAGGCGUAUCUUGUAACUUGAGUAGUUCUAUUGUUUUGUAAGCAUCAUCCUUGGAAGGUCCUAUGUUAGGUCGAGUCCUAUAUGUAUGUAGUCAUCCGAAUACAUGUAUAUAUGAUAUUAUGAUAUGAUAUUUGAUUUGUUUGUUAUAGAAGUAUAAAUAAAUUUCGGGUGCAACAAUCAAGUAGGCAAACAGAGAGAUCUUGUGGACCGAUUCAAAUGUAUGAGUUUGGUAGAAUAUGUACAGGCUCAAUUUCUACGAGCAAAACUUCAUUCCUUCGGUAGUGCCUGGUGGUGAUGUUAUUUCUACAGAUAUCAGCUUUGAGGUCAUUUUGGAUAUCUUCAACGCUUGGCAGUUCAAUAGAACUUUCAUCCAUCUACUUCGGAUUUUACAACAGUUCACACAUAGAUUCCCAAUUUUGUAAGGUUAACUAAUAGACAGCUGUAUAGCUGUCUAUUAGUUAAGGCAUUUUGGCUUGGUAAUUAAGGCACUGAUUUUUUAUUUUUUUAUUUUUGGCUUGAAUUAUGGUGAAAUCUCUUGACUUUUUCAGUUUUUUAUAUGGUCAUUGUUUCUGUAUAUUUUGCAAACAUUAACUGAGAUUGAUUGAAGGAGAUUCAUCCAGUCCUUUCACUUUUUAGUUUCAUAAUCCAUGAGAUUCUGGACUUGACUAUGUUCAAAACAAAGAUGGAGAACGUAUAUUUUGCUUUGAACUUUGUUGGCAGGUUUACAUAGAAGAGAAGACUUCUUUGAUUAACUACAAGAAAAUGAAAACUAUGAAAUUAUAUUCUCAUGUGGCGAAGGGGCCAGUUUACUUGCAGCUAUGCACGCAUUUAGCUCACAACAAAACGAUCUGACAUUUAUGGUGGUUGAGCUUCGGAUGCAGUCAUGUCUAGCGCCUGCUUAGCCAGAUGAGUUUUGUAGCAGCUCAUAAUUUUCGCAAUGAAUUCUGGAAGAACACAUAAGUUUAUAUGUUGAACAACAUGUAACGACCAGAAAAACAAAAACACGGUUAUAAUAUUAGAGAAAUGGGAGAUUCUUGGACAGAAGUCACGGGUUUGAGUCAUUGAAACAGAUUCAAUAAAGUGAUAUUCAAAUACUCAAUCUUAAGGUCGAAAGAUCAUUUCCAGAAUGCACACCGCAGAUAUGGCCAUAAUGAGGAAUGACCAUAUCUGAAUAUUGAUGACCAUUUUGGAACAAUAUUUAAAAGUUUGAUGGUCGUUAACUAAUAUGUUAUGCAUAAGGUAAGUUGGUAUUUUAUGGCGUAACCUUAAUUACUAUAGUGACGAACAUGGAUAGAUUAUAGAUCUCAUUUGCUUACCUUCGAUGUUCAUGAAAUGUUGGAUUAGCUUUCUCCUUUCGUCAUUCGAAAAUCUUCCAGAGCCUUUAUCCUGAAUAGAACAUGAAAAUGGUCAUUUUUUUAUUCUUCCAUUCCAAUCUCAUUUAGUAAACGACAGUUUGUUCUUACAUUAUAUUCUCUAUACGUAUUGUCAAUCUGCUGAUGUACUGACUCUGCAGUAUUCUUCUUCAACUCAACAUUUAGAGUCUGCAAAUAGUAAGUAUUAGAGAAUUUAUACUUGCUUAUAAAUCACAUGUUAGACAGAGUAAUACGUACUUGAAAGAUGAAUUUAGGUGGUACACUGUGGUCUAUGAGUUUCUGAAGUUUCCGACGUAUGUCAUAUAACCUGUCAAGAUAUUUAUUCAGCAUGUUAGAUAUUGAUUCUGGCCAAAAAAGGUUUCAAUUUUAGGGUCCAUCACUAUUUGUGUUAGCUGCAAAAAUAGGUAAAUUAAGUUUUAGUCACUUAAAAGUUCCCCAAAACUUUCUGAAAGUUUCAUUUCAAGGUAUUAUAAAAAUGGACAUCCGGUGGUUAUCAGCACUAUGUCAGUGCUGUCUAAAAGGCUUUUCGAUGGUUUCUGCCACGGUAUCUUCAAUCAAGUUUCAGAAUAUUUUAAGAGUUUUUGUGGGUGAAAAAAACUUAAUCUACCUCAAAUAGAAACUGGAUCAAGUUGAUUUUGUUAAAUACAAUAAACUCUUUUAUUAUACCAAGUGUCAUAUGACAUUUAUUUUGAUUAAAUGUGAGUAAUCUGGUAGCUUACUGUCUGGGGCUCUGUUUUUCCACUAUGCUUUUGGCAAUAUCUGCAAUAUCAUCUUCCCACCCAGUCAAAAUCACUUGAUCUUCUUCCAAAUGAGAGCUGCAGGAUAUCAGAAAACAAAUCUCACGGGUAGCUUCUAAGGAACGAAUGGCUUGUCGCAGGUUAUUCUUGGAAUCCGUGGCUAUUCUUUCAGCUAAUUUUCUUGGCAACUCUAUUUUUUCUUUUCUUGCUAUGAAUUCCAGGACUUCGAUAAUCUAGAACAAUGAAGAAGAUAUAGGAUGAUGCUGACGAUCACAAGAGGAAAUUGAACUAUUGGGUGGCAGAUCCAGAACAUUGGCCGAAGAAGGAGGAAGCAGCUCAACUAAUUUGCAGAUGUUUUUAAGGGGCUGCAUUUUCGAAGCGUCUUGGCAACAGAAGAAGAUUUUAUGACAUCCUCUAUAUCGCUCUAUAACCCAUCUUAUAUACAGCAGUGCAUCUGUUGAUAGCUUGUCUGCUUGGUAAAGAAUGAUGGCUGCAUGGGUUGAUUUGAGAGAAAUGUAUGGCAACCUGAAUGACCCAGCUAGGUAAUAGAGAUCAGAUCACAACCAAAAGUGGGAUUUAGAAGGGAUGUGUAGAUGGAGUAGGCCUAAGGGUUUUGAUACCUGAAGUCAUGCACAAUAAUAUUUAUCCCCAUGGUGCAACUGGUUUUACACUUUUACGGUCAUAAAUAUUUGUAAUAAUGGCUUUCUAACUAUAAGCAUUAGUACAAGGGGACAUCUAUGUUUGGCCCAACCAUGUUUUCGUGUUCAAGCAGUUAUAUUUCUUCCAUUUUGUUGUAUUUUUGCCUAUUAGAAGUGACUUGGUUUAUAUAUUAUAUAUGCAGUUGUCUUAAUUCUUA